rnacentral:rRNA from 1 species
UACGGAGGGGGCUAGCGUUAAUCGGAAUUACUGGGCGUAAAGCGUGCGUAGACGGUUAUUUAAGUCAGGUGUGAAAGCCCCGGGCUCAACCUGGGAAUUGCAUUUGAGACUGAAUAGCUAGGGUGCGGAAGAGGGAAGCGGAAUUUCCGGUGUAGCGGUGAAAUGCGUAGAUAUCGGAAGGAACACCAGUGGCGAAAGCGGCUUCCUGGUCCAGCACCGACGUCAGGCACGAAAGCGUGGGGAGCAAACAGG